UGCGUUGAGGCGCAGCAGUUGACUGGACAUCUAGGGGUAAAGCACUGUUUCGGUGCGGGCUGCGCAAGCGGUACCAAAUCGAGGCGAACUUUGAAUACUAGAUAUGACCCAAGAAUAACAGGGAUCAAGGUCGGCCAGUGAGACGAUGGGGAUAAGCUUCAUCGUCGAGAGGGAAACAACCC
rnacentral:ncRNA from 1 species